GUGUCAGCAGCCGCGGUAAUACGGAGGGUGCUAGCGUUGUUCGGAAUUACUGGGCGUAAAGCGCACGUAGGCGGGCUUGUAAGUCGAUUGUGAAAGCCCCGGGCUCAAUCCGGGAAUUGCAGUCGAAACUACAAGUCUUGAAUACCUGAGAGGGUGACGGAAUUCCUGGUGUAGAAGUGAAAUUCGUAGAUAUCAGGAGGAACACCGGAGGCGAAGGCGGUUGCCUGGCAGUGUAUUGACGCUGAGGUGCGAAAGCGUGGGGAGCAAACAGGAUUAGAAACCCUGGUAGUCC
rnacentral:rRNA from 1 species